GCUAGUAAUCGCGGAUCAGCAUGCCGCGGUGAAUACGUUCCCGAGCCUUGUACACACCGCCCGUCACACCAUGGGAGCCGGUAAUACCCGAAGUCAGUAGUCCAACCUCGUGAGGACGCUGCCGAAGGUAGGAUUGGCGACUGGGGUGAAGUCGUAACAAGGUACC
rnacentral:rRNA from 1 species